rnacentral:tRNA from 1 species
GAGACUUUAGUUUAACGGUAAAACAUGUGCCUUUUAAGCAUUAGUAUUUGGGUUCAAAUCCCAAAGGUCUUA